rnacentral:snRNA from 1 species
GUGCUCGCUUUGGCAGCACAUACACUAAAAUUGGAACAAUACAGAGAAGAUUAGCAUUGCCCCUGCGCAAGGAUGACAUGCAGAUUUGUGAGGUGUAGUCCCAGCUA